rnacentral:rRNA from 1 species
CCUACGGGGUGCUGCAGUGAGGAAUAUUGGUCAAUGGACGAGAGUCUGAACCAGCCAAGUAGCGUGAAGGAUGACUGCCCUAUGGGUUGUAAACUUCUUUUAUAUGGGAAUAAAAUGUUCCACGUGUGGGAUUUUGUAUGUACCAUAUGAAUAGGGACGGGCUAACUCGGUGCAACAAGCGUGGGUAUUACGGAGGACCCGAGCGUUUCCCGGAUUUAUGGGGUUUAAAGGGAGCGUAGGGGGAUUGUAAAGUCAGUUGUGAAAGUUUGCGGUUCAACCGUAAAAUUGCAGUUGAAACUGGCAGUCUUGAGUACAGUAGAGGUGGGCGGAAUUCGUGGUGUAGCGGUGAAAUGCUUAGAUAUCACGAAGAACUCCGAUUGCGAAGGCAGCUCACUGGACUGCAACUGACACUGAGGCUCGAAAGUGUGGGUAUCAAACAGGAUUAGAUACCCCAGUAGUC